GGGAAGAUGGCGGGCCGCAGGCUCGCGGGGACCCUCUGAUGGAGCAGUGGGUGCCUGUGACCCCUGAGACCCUCUCAGAGGCGCUGAUAUGUGCCGAAAUGCCCACUCCAAACCGGGCCCCGCACUGUCUGCAGCCACAGAAGAGGUAAGGAGAGCUGGCUGCAAGCUCAGAUCUCUUUGAAAGAGUUUAUGAGUGUGUUUACUUCAGGAAUGCCGAUCCCCUAAACUCAGCAAGACCAAUGAGAUGGAAGAAGCAGCUUGUGGAGACACUGCUUGGAUACAGCCACUGACCUACUCAGCUGGAAGCAGGGAGAGAAGAGGGUGGUGACCCAACUGGAGAUAAGAAUGAAGUAGACUUAGGAGCAGAAGCUGUUGAUUUGGUUCUAAAGACAGGAUGGACGCUUGUGGUUUCUAGCAACCCACCAGUAGACAGGUUUUUAGACACUUGAAAUGUGAAUCUCAACUGAGGACACUGUUUGGGUGGUGCUCAGUCUGUAAGUGGUGGUAAAAACCAUUAACUCCGUUUCAGGAGUCAUGAGAGGUGUAGAAAGAGGAACGGUGAUCAGAAUCUAACAAGAACAACUGCCUUAGGUUGUAGGCUUUCCUAUAGAAGAAACUCACGAACAAUGUUAUCGUAUCGAUGCUGUGCAACCAAAGAAAGCCAUGUUAAUCUGCAGUUCACACACCCUAAGUAUGUUACGUAAUUCUUUUACUCACAAUGAAAUAUGCUAAGGAAAGAAAAUAGACAGAACUUGAAUCCUUACAUCCAAUAAAUUCUCAAUAAAAGCAUAAAAACCUCAAUACCUCCAAUUCCUUUUCAGAAUACGAUGUAGAUCUAUUUAUGUUAACCAUGAGCAGGAAAUGUGACUUUUAAAAAAUUUCUUACCAACAUUGGAGUGAAGUGAACCAAAAGAAAGAG
rnacentral:lncRNA from 1 species